rnacentral:rRNA from 1 species
CACGUAGGGCGCAAGCGUUGUCCGGAAUUAUUGGGCGUAAAGAGCUCGUAGGCGGUCUGUUGCGUCCGCUGUGAAAACCCGGGGCUUAACCCCUGGCUUGCAGUGGAUACGGACAGACUAGAGGUAGGUAGGGGAGAAUGGAAUUCCCGGUGUAGCGGUGAAAUGCGCAGAUAUCGGGAGGAACACCGGUGGCGAAGGCGGUUCUCUGGGCCUUACCUGACGCUGAGGGGCGAAAGCUAGGGGAGCGAACAGG